CUGGGGAAGUUUCCACAUUUUGGCUGUGUUCAUUGUUCAGGCUCUCCCCACCCAGGCUUGUCACUCCCGCUUGGCUUGAAGGGAAUGGGAGGGAGGCAGCAGAGCUGUGCUAGAAAAGCUGCACCAUGGAUUACUGCUGAAAUGAAAUGUAGCUGUAAGGGGAAAAAAAAGCAGAGAACAAGGAAAUUCUGCUUAAUCACCUAUUGUCUGCAGUUGUUUUGCAUUCUUCACCUGUCACUCCUUGCUGGAGUCGGAUGUUUUUCUCCUGAUGAUGAGAACCUGACAGACGGAUGCACGCUCCCUUCCCCUUCUGGGAUUUGUCUCUCCGUGGCAGAGCUCAGCAGCAUCUGUGAAGUGGAAAUGAGCAGGCAGUGCAGCAGAUCAAAAUGAGGCCGUGGAAACGAUCUCACAGAAAACCCAGCUCAAUCUGCUUCCAUCGUCUGGUACUAACUGCCAUGAAAGCAAUCACGUACAGAAGAAACAUGUGAAAGCCAAAGCCUCCCAUGACUGAUGAAAUAAAGACCUCACAGAAGUACCUGCA
rnacentral:lncRNA from 1 species